GAGAGAAGUGGAAAUUUCUGAAUAUGAUGACCCUGUGGCAGCUGGUCAGUCAUUCACUACAGCUGACUCAGAGGAGACUUCAGACUCAGUAGAAUCCAGCUGCUCGACCUUGCCUGUGCCCAAAUACCACUUUCUGGUGCCAUCAAAAAUCAGUAAUUCAGUCAUGUGGGUUAUCUCAAAGAUGGAAGCUGACACUUAGAAGCUUGACUGGAACCCCUCUGCAUGGCAACCUGUUUAAAUUCGAUUUCAGUGGCCCACAGAAGUCCUCUGCUCUGUGAAGGAACUACCGGCAAGAAGUUGAGGGGAAGAGGAGAAUGGGAUCAGAGGAGCUAUUCCCUUGGCUUCCUUCUUGUUGGGUUGCUAGCACAUUGGCCCUGCGGCUGCUCAAAUAGCCACGGAUACUGUGGAAAUGCUCAUUUCCAGUCACCUCUUCCUCUUGCUGCUGCUGCCAUUGCU